ACUCCUACGGGAGGCAGCAGUGGGGAAUAUUGCACAAUGGGCGCAAGCCUGAUGCAGCCAUGCCGCGUGUAUGAAGAAGGCCUUCGGGUUGUAAAGUACUUUCAGCAGUGAGGAAGGUGGGUAUGUUAAUAGCAUACUCAUUUGACGUUAGCUGCAGAAGAAGCACCGGCUAACUCCGUGCCAGCAGCCGCGGUAAUACGGAGGGUGCGAGCGUUAAUCGGAAUUACUGGGCGUAAAGCGCAUGCAGGUGGUUUGUUAAGUCAGAUGUGAAAGCCCGGGGCUCAACCUCGGAAUUGCAUUUGAAACUGGCAAACUAGAGUACUGUAGAGGGGGGGUAGAAUUUCAGGUGUAGCGGUGAAAUGCGUAGAGAUCUGAAGGAUACCGGUGGCGAAGGCGGCCCCCUGGCAGAUACUGACACUCAGAUGCGAAAGCGUGGGGANCGAAACNGGAUUAGAUACCCUGGUAGCUCUGC
rnacentral:rRNA from 1 species